rnacentral:rRNA from 1 species
GACGAACGCUGGCGGCGUGCUUAACACAUGCAAGUCGAGCGGUAAGGCCCUUUCGGGGGUACACGAGCGGCGAACGGGUGAGUAACACGUGGGUGACCUGCCCUCAGCUCUGGGAUAAGCCUGGGAAACCGGGUCUAAUACCGGAUAUGACUCCAUGACGCAUGUUGUGGGGUGGAAAGCCUUGUGCGGCUGAGGAUGGGCCCGCGGCCUAUCAGCUUGUUGGUGGGGUGAGGCCUACCAAGGCGACGACGGGUAGCCGGCCUGAGAGGGCGACCGGCCACACUGGGACUGAGACACGGCCCAGACUCCUACGGGAGGCAGCAGUGGGGAAUCUUGCGCAAUGGGCGAAAGCCUGACGCAGCGACGCCGCGUGAGGGAUGACGGCCUCGG